UAAGGUAUAAAUAUGGCCGCGUUGGCGCAUCUCAGUCUUUUUAGGCGUUGCUACCUGGCUGUGCUUCUCUUGAACUGAUGAGUAAGUCCAAGUAACUCGUUGACUUGAGGAGAGGAACUGCACGGACACCUACUCACAGGUUUUGAGGCAAUUUACAUGCAGCUUGGUAAAAUUUUGUCUGUAUUAGGGUCUCAGCCAUUAGAAGCUGGACAAACUUUUCUGCCUACUUAUUCUGUCUGGUAAAUGCAAUUUUUUUGAAAGGUUGUGUCUAGAUUUGGGAAACUUCAGCAUGGUUCUCCCUUUUGAUAGCCGGCAGGUUUCCCCUGGACCGUGUUAUGUAAACCAUGUAUCUUUUCUCACAUUUUCUGUAAGAUUAUACCCUUAAAUUAAAUACAGACUGGGUUACAGGGUCUAGUUGUAAUCUGAAUAUUUGUGAUAUGACAAAUCUGAAUUAAAGCUUUUGAAUGCC